rfam:Oryza glaberrima chromosome 1 Oglab01_0303_5, whole genome shotgun sequence.
CAUAGUUUCCGUGCCCAACAUUUGAGUAUCCGUCUUAUUUAAAAAAAUUAUAAAAAAAAUUAAAAUGACAAGUCACGCAUAAAAUAUUAAUCAUGUUUUAUUAUCUAACAAUAGUAAAACUACGAAUUAUAAAAAAAUUUCAUAUAAGACGGACAAUUAAAGUUGGAUACGAAAACUCACGAUUUGUUUUUUU